GAUGAACGCUAGCGACAGGCUUAACACAUGCAAGUCGAGGGGCAGCGGGGUAGUGCUUGCACUACUGCCGGCGACCGGCGCACGGGUGAGUAACACGUAUGGAACCUGCCCGCAGCAGGGGGAUAAGCGGAAGAAAUUCCGUCUAAUACCGCGUAACAACGUUGGGAGGCAUCUCCCGAUGUUUAAAGAUUUAUCGGCUGCGGAUGGCCAUGCGGCGCAUUAGCUAGUCGGCGGGGUAACGGCCCACCGAGGCGACGAUGCGUAGGGGUUCUGAGAGGAAGGUCCCCCACACUGGUACUGAGACACGGACCAG
rnacentral:rRNA from 1 species